UCCCGGUACUUGGUGUGGUAUGCAUUCUUUGCCGACCCAGCCAACAAGCACGCCUCCGCUCCCAAAAAGGUUGUCCAGGAGAAGACGAAGAAGAAGACGGUCCAAGUGGUGGAGGAGCCAGUGACUAGACCUUUGCCGCAGCAGAGACACCUGGUGACGACGUUAAGCACCGUCUGGCUGACGGCAAGCAGCCCAAACGCCGCUAGUCCGUACACCGUGGAGGCAUCCGUGCCGUACACGCAGUAGGUACGCUCGUCGUACUCAUCGGGCACUAUCUUUGCCGUGCUACGGCGUCGUUCGGUGCCGACGGCGAAGAUGAAGGCGAUGAGAUGGAGGGAGGUAACGAUGGCGACUAUGGGUAUCGAGACUGCCAUUGUUGUCUCUCGCUUUUCUCAGUGGGGAGUGUGUGGGAAGGACUGGUUGGAGCAGUGCCUGGUGCGGAUCUGUUCCAACGAGCCCGCGCUCCAAUGGACGACAGAUCGGAGUAUGGAAUCGAUCCGCCGCUCAAGGUCGAAGGCGGAGUUGAGGCAGGGAUCCUUGCACACCUGCAGCCACGGCUUGCAGACCAGCAUCAGCGCACUCCAUCGGUGCUCCAGGGUGAGAUUCUCAAGUCGUCAGCGUCGGUCCGAAAGGAGAGCUCUAGUGAUCAGGCUGAAGACAUGGGGAAAGGAGCCAAGUGGGUCAGAUUUUGUAGCCGGGCUCACGGUUUGGGUCUGAGGAGAGAUGGAGAUGGGCCAAAUUUUGUAGCUGGGCUCAGAUAUGUAUAUAUAUAUAUAUAUUUUUUUUUUUUAAUUAAUUUUUUUUUUUAAUAAUUUUUUUUUUAAAGAAAUUGUAAUUUAAUUUUGUACCAAGAAAAUUGCAAGUAAAUUUGUAAUAAAAUUGACCUUCAUUAAUGAGACUUUAAACAAACCCCCUUUUUUUUUUUUUUUUUUUUUUAAUAAGAUUGACUUUCUUUAAUAAAACAUUUAUUUAUAUUUUGAUGUGACUGAACUCGAAAAAUUGAACAUUCGAGCUGCCUACGUACCCCUCCAAAGAAGAGAUCAAGUCAUAACGUAGUUCAAAUACAUACAUAUUUUAUUUUAUUUUUUGGUAUUUUCUUUUUUGUGCUGUUUGCAGUUUCAACUCGUGCAGACAAGGAGCAUUUGGUGCCGUGUUGCAGUUUCAGCUCGUGCAGGCAAGGAGCUUUGGGUUGUCGCAUUUUAUGCUCGUGCAGACCAGGAGCGUUGGUGUUGCCUUUUAUGCUCGUGCAGACCAGGAGCAUUGUGCCAUGCAAUUUAGGCUCGUGUAGGCGAGGAGCUUUGGUUCAUGCAGUUUUAGGCUCGUGCGAACAAGGAGCAUUGUGUCCUACAGUUUAGGCUCGUGCGGACAAGGAGCUUUGGUUCGUGCAGUUUAGGCUCGUGCGAACAAGGAGCAUUGGUUCGUGCAGUUUAGGCUCGUGCGAACAAGGAGCUUUGUGCCAUGCAGUUUAGACUCGUGCGGGCAAGGAGAAUUUGUUGAUUUUGUCAAGCAAUCCGGGAGAGGCGUUCCUCACAAAUUUUCAUAGCAAGGAGCUUUGACUGCGUGAUUGAAGAAGUCUUCGGGCAAGAAGUCGCGCAUCGUGAUGGCAACGGAAGAUCUUUGUGUCGCAAUUUCAUCAUCUUCAACACGUUCAUGUUGCUUUGAAGGUUGACAAGAGCUGUUUUGCCCCUUUUUCCGAUUGGCGGACUUGUGGAGGAGACGUAUGCUUCUUGUGCAAUUUCUUAGGAGUGACUUGAGUCCAUCCUUCAAUUUUGCUUGUCUUGGAGGAUGCCCCCAGCGGUUGAGGUGAAAACUUCGAGUCGGAAGAGUCAGAAGUGAUGGUGGUAUAGUUUGACUUCACCACAUCGUCAAGAUCUAGCUCGAUGAUUCCUUUUUUGAGCCAGCUUCAUGAUAAGAUCUUUCAGUACGAAGCAUUUUUUCUGUCGGAUGACUGAUGAAGCGGUGGAAUUUACAGUACCUUGGACUGUCGGUGCGAUUCAUCUCUUCUGGCCGUCUGCACUCAGGCAAGCCGAUCACCUUCUUUUCCAGCAAGUCUUCUAACAUGGCAACCACAUCAGAGUCGGGGAAUGGAUAAGUUUUCUCCUCGAGCUCCUUCAAAGUGCGUCUACGCAUCUCUUGAUCACGAAAGCCUUCGGCUUGAAUCGCCUUGCCUCGUGUGGAGAUUUUGACAGGAGAUGUGUUGACCGUCAUCGCUUCCUUGGUGGGUUUCCAUGCAGCCUUUUCCACCUUUGUCUCAAGAACAUUGUCAUUCUUGUAGUUGGCGAUUGGUUCCUUCUUCCCAUGAUGGGCGAUGCUCAACUCCAUGUCAUGGGCGCGAGUGGCUAAUUCCUCGAAGGUCCGUGGUUUAAUGCCUUGAAGGAUGUAUUGCAAACCCCAUUGCAUGCCUUGGAUGCACAUCUCGAUUGAAGAGGUUUCCGAGAGCCUGUCUUUACAGUCGAGGCUUAGAGUGCGCCAUCUGUUGAUGUAGUCAAUGACUGGCUCGUCCUUCCACUGCUUUGUGCUCGUUAGCUCUAGCAUGCUCACAGUGCGGCGGGUGCUAUAGAAGCGGUUGAGGAAUUCCCGCUCUAAUUGUUCCCAGCUGUUGAUGGACUCAGGCUCUAGGUCUGUGUACCACUCAAAGGCGUUUCCUUUCAGCGAGCGCACAAACUGCUUGGCGAGGUAAUCCCCUUCAGUUCCUGCGUUGUUGCAAGUUUCAACGAAGUGGGCAACGUGCUGUUUCGGGUUUCCCUUUCCAUCAAAUUGCAUGAACUUUGGUGGUUGAUAACCCCUCGGCAUCCUUAAGGCGUCGAUCUUCUUUGAAUACGGCUUUGAGUACAACCCGGAGGUAUUUGAGCUCCCUUCGUACUGUGCCUUGAUGGUGUUGGUGAUCAUCUCUUGCAGCUGCUGGAUAGAAAGAGAUCCCAUGAGUGCCGCUGCUUGGUCUGGCUCCGGCUUCCCAUCGAUUUUCUUCACCGGGGGUUCUUCGUCUCCGCCAGCUCCUCCCUUUAGUGGAUCAUCCUCUGGGUCGGGUUUAUCGCCGUCUUGUGCCUCCAAUCGGUUGACUAGUGCUGUAAUUUGCAAGUCUUUUUCUUCCACAGUUCGGGUUAGCCUUGCGAUUGCUUCAUUCAUUUGAGCCAGCUGCUCAUCGAUUGAAGUUGCUCCAAUGGUCAUGACUUGCAUGGCUGAACUGUCGCUUGAAUCGGCAUCGGAGAGCAUGGAUUCGGAGUAUUUCCUUGGGCUUUCCCCCCUUGGUGCCCUUAGUGAGGCUAAGGUGAUCACAGGCUCAUGCCUGGGGUACUCUCGUUCCCCUGGCAGAGUUGAUGCAGAGGUGGCAGAAGUAGCUUUUGCUUUGCUUCGAGUCGUGAUACCCAACGUGACACCACUUGCGACGAGGACGCUCUUGUUCUUUGCGCCGGUUGCAGGAACAGUUUGAGCCUUCCUUGAUGCCAUUAAUUUUGGUAGUGCGCUUGAAUUUCUUGAACGGAGAAAGAGAUGAGAGGCAGAGAUGGUCCCACUGGGCGUGCCAAUUUGUGAACACGGAAAAUUCCUGAAACGAAAGAGACAAGAACAACGCGCACAAACAAAUAUUCGUAUUUAGAUGAUUUUGGGUUACAAUCUCUCUCUAUUUUGAUCCUCUGAUUCGAUCUCCGUAAGGUGUUGAUUGGUGGAUAUUUCGUUGAUCCAAGGGCCGUCAAGGCUUGAUCUUGGAUGAACUGUUGGAAGUUUCUUCAAAAGGGCCGUGGGCUUGAUCUUUGGAGGUGGAUUUGAGCGGAUCUUCAAGGAGCCGUUGGGGCUUGAUCUUGAGGAUGAAUGUUUCUUCAAGGGCCGUUUGAGGCUUGAUCUUGAAUAACGGUAAUGAGCAGAUCUUCAAGGGCAUUUGGGCUUGAUUUUGAAGAACAGUGAUGGACGGAUCUUCAAGGGCUUUUGGGCUUGAUCUUGAAGAACGGUUGGAUGUGUGGAUUUGUCGACGUUGUUAAUCCAAAGGGGGGCCGUUGGGGCUUGAUCUUGGAUGAACGGAUGAUGAGCGAUGGGGCUUUCUUCAAGGGCCGUCGGGGCUUGAUCUUGAAUUAGUGGAUGAUUGUUGAUCCAAAGGGCCGUUUGGGCUUGAUCUUGGAAGAACGAUGAACGAAGAACGAAGAACACUUUCUUCAAGGGCCGUCGGGGCUUGAUCUUGAAUUGGUGGAUGAUUGUUGAUCCAAAGGGCCGUUUGGGCUUGAUCUUGGAAGAACGAUGAACGAAGAACGAAGAGAGCUUUCUCGAUUCUUCGGGAACCUGGAUGCUUGAGAGCUUCGGAGUUUCAGAGCUUCAGAGCUUCAAGGUGUAAUAUGAAUUCCCCCUUAAAUGAAUGAAAUGGGCUUGUAUUUAUAGAAUUUUCCAAGGCCUAACUUUGAAUAUAAUAUUCCAGAUGAAAUAAGUCGUUUCUGCCAGGUGUUGACACGUGUCCUAUUUGAUGACUUUUCCAACUCAUUUCAAUUUUCGUUGAGUCACACGCUACGUGUAAAAUUUAUGUAAUACAUGAGCGUUGACACUUUGAUUUAUCGGUCAACAUUUAUUUACCGAAAUUUCGAUGUCUACAGAAUCCAAACAACGAACUUGAUGUAUCUUGACUCAAAUAUUCCAAUUUUUAUUCAUAUUGCAAAUUUAGUUCUCUUGUCGAAAUGCAAAUAAGUACAAAAAAAAAUACAAAAGAAAUAAUGUAAUGUGCAAAUUUGCAACUACUAAUUCCAAAACAUAAAGGAUAAAAAGAAGCAACAUCUUUAAAACUAGAUGCCAUAUGCUGCUCAUGACACCGACCUUAUAGAAAAUCAGACUAAAUCUUAUAAACUAAAUGAUAUAAAAGUUGAUGAUUGAAUUAUUACUUAAGUGUUGAUAAAAAAAAUUAUUACGUAAGUAUUCAUUAACGUGCUCAUUUCUUAUUGGUGACACAUAUUUGGUUUGCUAAUUUGAUCUACAAAUUUAAUCUACCUAGCAUUACUCAGAACCGAAUAUUAAAUGAAGAGAAAAAUUGUCAUUUUUUGGCAAAUGGGAUGUUCUACUACUCUAAUAUAGGAGGAAUUUUAUCAACUAGGACAAAUCUACAAGAAGAGGAAUUCAACCUUAGAAAAAAGGGACACAUUGCUCUAACCAACUAACAUAUGAUUUGUCAUCUUUUAAACAAUUAUCACUAUAUAAUUUUGUCAUUUUUAAAUAAUAUAAUUUUUGCAUCUUAGUACUAUGGUCUCAUGAUAUUCCUCUUCAUUUUGAGAAGUCUUAGAUUCGAUGGAUGUUGAGUUCAAAAUUAAUUUAUUCCCCCAACUCUUAGUCUAAAUAUAUCAUUGUGUAAAAGAUAAUAACCACUAAGACCUUAAAGCAUAAUUAGAAUUUUUUUUUGUUUUUAGCAAACGAUAACAUAUGGGUUAAAUUGUUAAAUAUUGGGGGAGAAGGGAAUCGAUAGGAAUCAAACUCAUACCAAAGUGCAUAAACAUUAUUACUUUCUGCCACUUUAGUUCAAUGCCAUUUGCACAUAACUAGAAAUUUUUAGGAAUAAACUCUGAUGUUAAUUAAAUUAAAACUUGACUGCGAUAGCUCAUUAGUUACAUUGGUAAAACUGUAUAAAUUAACAUACACAAUACCAUUUUAUUUUAUUUUCUUCAAUGGACAACAUAUGGUCAGAUCAAAUCUCGAAAGUUCAGUGGUCUUGAUGGGAAGGAGUAAAAAAGAGAUAACAUACACAGUACCUUCUUGCAGCAGCAGCUGAGACAAAUGAGAAGCUUCCCAUAUUCUUCAAAAUGAUUUAACCUCCUCUACAACAAGAGAAUCAUUUCCUGGAGGUGGGUACCUUGUUCUAACUUCUUUUCAGUAAUUUAGAUGCAUAUAUAACUUCUUUUCAAAGCACACGUGCGCAUUUUGUAGCAGACCAUGUGGAAUGCGGUGUUCUCAUUUAGGUGAAUGAGGUUUGUCUGCUUUAUCAAUAAUUGAGAUCCAAUCGGGAGACGUCACGCAAUAAUAAUUUGAUUUGAACUAUUCUUCGACGAUAAUUGAACAUAAUAUAUGCAAGGUCUAUUCUUUUAUUAGUAUAAAUUUUUUUCUCAACACGUAUCUUUUAUGUGAUAAAUUGUUAAGCCUAAUACAUAGACAACACAAUUCAGAUGACAAAACACAUGUGGCCGUUAAGCUUCAUACACCAAGGUCCAUUCUCUCAUUAGUAUGAGAUUUAUCUUCAACACACCCCUUACACGUGGUGAAUUGUUAAACCUAACAUGUGGACAAUACAAAUCAGAUGACGUGGAGCACACGUAGCCGUUAAGCUUCACAUGUGGGGCAAACUGUUUUGAUACCAUAUCGAAAGUUGAUGUUCCACCAUAAAACUAAUUGGAAAUAUGAAACUUAGCUAAAUUACUUAUGGGGUGUGAUAUCCACACACCCAUUUUUACUUGUCACACACCCCUUGUUAAUUUAUGUCCGUUGAUCUUUUUCAAUUCAUCCAAUUCGACGGCCGAAAACUAAAAAGGUGUGGGAGAAGUAAAAAGGGGUGUGUGAAUAUCACACCCCAUUGCUUAUAAGCACAUGUAAGGUCUCUUCAUACAUCAAUGUGAAAUUCAUUAACACUUGUAAAUAAAAAGUUUGGGUAAUUCCCACUUUACUAUCCUCAAGUUUUGUCAAAAUUGCACUUUCGUACACUUACCUUUUUCGUCUCACUUUCAUACCUAAAAUUUGAUUUUUCUACCACUUUGGUACUUCUAUUAGCCUAACGGUUCAUUUUUUUGUUAACUGUUGACGUGACAGUAUCUUGACCCACUAAUUCUCACUUUACUACUUUCAAGUAUUCUGAAAUUCGCACUUUGUUAUCCUUAGUUUUUUUUGUCUUACUCUUAUAACUAAAUUUAUAUUUUGCUCUUAUAUUCAUAGUUCCGUUAGCCUGAGCGUCUUGGCUUCGUUAAAGCGUAACGUGGAGCUUGACUGCAUAAUGACUUUGUGGAAAGGUGGCACUAUGGCUUAAGAAAAAAAAAAUUAAACAAUUAAAAAACAUUUGCGAUAUAAAAUUUUCAAAUGUCAACUUUUUUUGCGGAAUUUAGGUUUUUUUUUUUAUUUUUCACGUGGCAACAUUUGUUGCUCUUAGUGUUUGAAAUUUUUUAAUUUGACUAGAACUUAUUUCAAAGUCUCCGCUUGAACAAUCUUGUAUACCUUGAGGGGCCCACAGUACCACGUUUUUCCAUAAUCAACUUCCAAUCAAAGCCUAACAUGGCACUUGGCCAAUAGUGCCACGUUUCUGAUAGUCAUCAUCUAAUCAAGUGUAACGUCACACUUUUAACGAAGCCGAUGGCUACCAGGCUAACAUAAGCAUGAAUUUGGGAGCAAAAUGUGCCUAUGUAUGAAAGUGAGAUGAAAAAACUAAAAGUGAUAAGAGUGUGAAUUUCAAAAUACUUUAGAAUAGUAAAGUGUGAAUUAGUGGGGUUAAGAUCCUGUUACGUCAUCAAUUAACAAAAAGUUAACGAUUAGGCUAAAUUAUUUAUAUAGUUUCGAAUCAUUCCUCCCUCCUCUUAAUAAUAAUAAAAAUUUAUAUAAAAAACAAACUUUAGAUAUGAGCGAUUUUGACGAAACUUAAGAAUAGUAAAGUAAGAAUAAUCAAAACCUAAUGUUUACUAUCUACAAGUAUCAUUGCAUAGAAAAAAUAAAUAAAUAACACUUCACACUCAUUUUUUAUCUUGAAACGUGACACACAUUAAUAAUGGGAAUUUGCCAAGACAGUUAUUUGUUUUUGGUAAAGAUUCUAAAAUUAUAUACGUACACACACAUGUGAUGUUCAGAAAAAUAUGAAGUUACUUUUACAUGCAUGUGUGAUGUUCCUUCGCUAUAUGGGGUCAAAAGUUGAAUUUGUCCCCAAACCUAGGUCGAAUUCCGUGCUGCCUUCAGAAAAGUCACCAUGACCCAUCUCCCGUGACUCAUUUGUUACAUCUCACUUUGCCUUUCAUCGUUAAAUAUAUCAACAGCCAAAAACCAUCAUAACUACAUAAAUAGCACGAAUGCAUGUCACUUCUGCAAAAAGUUUUCCUUUAAAUUAGAGGGAUGAUGCCAUUUACUACCACGUUUAAUAAUAUUUAUCUUCACUUGUAAGUAAAAAGUCUUUAGCUCGAUCUUUGUCGAAUUUGAGUUCAGUCCAAUUAAUUAUGAUUUGCUCAUUUUGUAAAUAUAUUGUCUUAUCCAAAAUAAAAAAUAGAAACGGGAAUUCUUUACUUAAGAAAUGGCUCACGCUUAUAUACNNNNNNNNNNNNNNNNNNNNNNNNNNNNNNNNNNNNNNNNNNNNNNNNNNNNNNNNNNNNNNNNNNNNNNNNNNNNNNNNNNNNNNNNNNNNNNNNNNNNNNNNNNNNNNNNNNNNNNNNNNNNNNNNNNNNNNNNNNNNNNNNNNNNNNNNNNNNNNNNNNNNNNNNNNNNNNNNNNNNNNNNNNNNNNNNNNNNNNNNNNNNNNNNNNNNNNNNNNNNNNNNNNNNNNNNNNNNNNNNNNNNNNNNNNNNNNNNNNNNNNNNNNNNNNNNNNNNNNNNNNNNNNNNNNNNNNNNNNNNNNNNNNNNNNNNNNNNNNNNNNNNNNNNNNNNNNNNNNNNNNNNNNNNNNNNNNNNNNNNNNNNNNNNNNNNNNNNNNNNNNNNNNNNNNNNNNNNNNNNNNNNNNNNNNNNNNNNNNNNNNNNNNNNNNNNNNNNNNNNNNNNNNNNNNNNNNNNNNNNNNNNNNNNNNNNNNNNNNNNNNNNNNNNNNNNNNNNNNNNUUUGCAGGGAGCGGAGCUCGAGUUUGAGGAAGAGCUUCUCGGCCGGCUAGUCGUUUGACAGCGGUCUUUGAAGUUGUUGGCAGCUGCGAGGCAAGAGACGGUGGAGGUGGAGGUGACCAGGGCAGCUGUGACGGACAGAGACGCCAUGGCAGGACCUCGAGGAGUUUUAAGAUACUGGUGCAGGUACUGGUGAGGAUGUGCAGGUUCCUUGGAUGGUGCAAAUUAUUAGAUGGAGGCCAAGCGCUGCGGUGGAAGGAGUCGAUGCCGAGAGCGCAGCCCAACUUGCUCCGGGUGUGCGCACCAUAUACAGCAGGUGGGGUUUGGUGGAGAUUCAGACGACGCGGCGACAGAGUUGGCACCACCUUCCAGCAUCUCGAAUGUGGAGCUCUAAUGGUGAAGAGGGGUUGGGCUGGAUGUCGCAGAGACAGCGGAGAUUGAGAGAGGAGCUCCUGAGCCAUUCUGGAGCCUGCCUGAGCCUUUGCCUUCUCUCUCGCUCGAGAGCGAGCCGUCUCUCUUCUCUCGCUGUCCGCCUGCUGCUUCGUCGCUCCUCGUCUCGCUCUCGAGGUCGAGAUCUGCUUGCCGUUGGCGUCUCUCUCGCUCCGCCUGCUGCUACUCUCGACACGGUGCUGUUGGGGAAGGAUGAUCAGCUAGGAAGAAGAAGCUGGGUUGCUGCUUCCAUUGCUGGGCAGCCGAGGAAGAGAAGUGGAGAGCUUGGAGUUUGACGCAGCCGUGGAGGAAGAAGACGGAGGAGUGGAGUUCGUGGCGUAUGCAGGAAGUCUCGGCCUUGAAGUGGAUGAGGGUACGACGACAGCAGAUCCACCAUUUUCUCUGAAAGCUUUACGGAGCUCUGACAGAGAGAAGAUCCUCAGCAAAUCCCUGUCGUCAUUAGACCAUUUCAGCCCAUAUACCUCAGACUUGUGGCCAACAGGCUUGCUGCUGAUGUAAUUGUCUGGGACUCGAGGAUCAUGUUGAAGUAUGUUCCGGUCUCGGCUUUCUGAAGCUAAUAUGCGCGAGUUCCACGCCAAAAUUCCAGUCCUUGUUUGGUGCCUACCCAUCGUUCGAACCCUCUUGCACUGCAUCCCAUCCCGAACCUGGACUCGACCAAGACUUGUGCCAAUUGACAAGUCUGACCCCUCCCGUGUCCGUUGGAUAGAGCACACACCGUCAUUAGGCCUCAAGUCACACAAUUUUGUCACCUUGCUUGUUUGAUGUACUCCAAAGAUAAACACUGGUGCCGAGUCAAACUGCCAGAGCAUUUUGGGAAGACCAUUCCACAAGGUUCAAGUAAAAGUCAUCUUGUAGUGAUGGAGCAUCCAGAACCUUAUGGGGUGUCUUGGGGACCUUGCGAGGAGGCUUGAGAGGACGAUGAUGAUGAGCAUGGAUGGUCGGGGAACGGCAAAGACAGGAUAAAAUCUUCAAUCCGACCUCGCCCUUGAUCUGAGAAAACACUCUCCGUUUCUCCAGUAUCAGCUUUGGAAUGCGCCCAGUAGUAAAGGCUUGACCCUGCCAGUGACAACAGCGUAAGAACAGUGCCGGCGGCAAACAUGCCCUUGCGCAGAGUAGCACAGGACAAGUCAUCUACUUUGAAGAUUCCCCGGUACUUGGUGUGGUAUGCAUUCUUUGCCGACCCAGCCAACAAGCACGCCUCCGCUCCCAAAAAGGUUGUCCAGGAGAAGACGAAGAAGAAGACGGUCCAAGUGGUGGAGGAGCCAGUGACUAGACCUUUGCCGCAGCAGAGACACCUGGUGACGACGUUAAGCACCGUCUGGCUGACGGCAAGCAGCCCAAACGCCGCUAGUCCGUACACCGU
rnacentral:lncRNA from 1 species